rnacentral:rRNA from 1 species
UACAGAGGUGGCAAGCGUUGUUCGGAAUUACUGGGCGUAAAGGGCGCGUAGGUGGCCUUUUGAGUCAGACGUGAAAUCCCCCGGCUUAACCGGGGAACUGCGUCUGAUACUGGAUGGCUUGAGUUUGGGAGAGGGAUGCGGAAUUCCAGGUGUAGCGGUGAAAUGCGUAGAUAUCUGGAGGAACACCGGUGGCGAAGGCGGCAUCCUGGACCAACACUGACACUGAGGAGCGAAAGCCAGGGGAGCAAACGGG